UGCCUUACACUGCAAGUCGAACGGUAACAGGUCUUCGGAUGCUGACGAGUGGCGAACGGGUGAGUAAUACAUCGGAACGUGCCUAGUAGUGGGGGAUAACUACUCGAAAGAGUGGCUAAUACCGCAUGAGAUCUACGGAUGAAAGCAGGGGAUCGCAAGACCUUGUGCUACUAGAGCGGCCGAUGGCAGAUUAGGUAGUUGGUGGGAUAAAAGCUUACCAAGCCGACGAUCUGUAGCUGGUCUGAGAGGACGAUCAGCCACACUGGGACUGAGACACGGCCCAGACUCCUACGGGAGGCAGCAGUGGGGAAUUUUGGACAAUGGGCGCAAGCCUGAUCCAGCAAUGCCGCGUGCAGGAUGAAGGCCUUCGGGUUGUAAACUGCUUUUGUACGGAACGAAAAGCCCUGGGUUAAUACCCUGGGGUCAUGACGGUACCGUAAGAAUAAGCACCGGCUAACUACGUGCCAGCAGCCGCGGUAAUACGUAGGGUGCGAGCGUUAAUCGGAAUUACUGGGCUUAAAGCGUGCGCAGGCGGUUUUGUAAGACAGAGGUGAAAUCCCCGGGCUCAACCUGGGAACUGCCUUUGUGACUGCAAGGCUAGAGUACGGCAGAGGGGGAUGGAAUUCCGCGUGUAGCAGUGAAAUGCGUAGAUAUGCGGAGGAACACCGAUGGCGAAGGCAAUCCCCUGGGCCUGUACUGACGCUCAUGCACUUAAAGCG
rnacentral:rRNA from 1 species